rnacentral:rRNA from 1 species
AGUGAACGCUGGCGGCGUGCUUAACACAUGCAAGUCGAACGAGAACGGAUUAUAGCUUGCUAUAAUUGUCAGCUAAGUGGCGCACGGGUGAGUAAUGUAUAGGUAAUAUGCCUCUUACUAAGGGAUAACAAUUGGAAACGAUUGCUAAUACCUUAUAUUCCUUUUUAUCAAAAGAUAAAAAGGGAAAGAUUUAUUGGUAAGAGAUUAGCCUGUAUUGUAUCAGUUAGUUGGUGGGGUAAUGGCCUACCAAGACGAUGACGCAUAACUGGUUUGGGGGGAGAAUCAGUCACCCGGGAACUGUGAAACGGUCCAGACUCCGACGGGAGGCAGCAGUGGGGAAUAUUGCACAAUGGACGAAAGUCUGUUGCAGCAACGCCGCGUGGAGGAGGAAACAUUUCGGUGCGUAAACUCCUUUUAUAUAAGAAGAUAAUGACGGUAUUAUAUGAAUAAGCACCGGUUAACCCCGUGCCAGCCGCCGCGGUAA